rnacentral:sRNA from 1 species
UUUGGAGCUUAACGGCGGAAGUGAGAUUCCAUGACUUGAACCAAGGCGGCUCUAGUCUGAGAAGUACCUUGUGGUCUAUAAUCCUUUAGAACAAGACCGAAUCUCAUUGGUCUCAGUCUAUGUGAGUUCCCCCACAGUGCAAGUGUUCUCUGCUUCAGGAAAACCUGUGGAAGUUCAAGUCAGCGCAGUUUGGGAUACAGCAAAUACUAUUUCAGAAACAGCCUAUGAGAUCUCUUUUCGAGCACAUAUACCACCAUUGGGACUGAAAGUGUAUAAGAUUUUGGAAUCAGCAAGUUCAAAUUCACAUUUAGCUGAUUAUGUCUUGUAUAAGAAUAAAGUAGAAGAUAGCAGAAUUUUCACCAUAAAGAAUAUGAUAAAUACUGAAGAAGGUAUAACACUAGAGAACUCCUUUGUUUUACUUCGGUUUGAUCAAACUGGACUUAUGAAG